AGCAGCCCAGGGAGAAUAAAGGGCUCCCUGGUGCUCAGUGCAUCAUUGGGAAGAUUAAUUAACAUGUGUAAAGGCCACACACAACGUGAAAGGCCCAGUAAUGGAUCUCCAAACGCCGGAGUCCCUGUUUUCUAGAAGGGUCAUGAAACAAGGAGUGGAAAAUAUUCCCUAGAAGACAGAGCUGGAUGACCCCGGCCAUGAAGAACACAGCAAAGAAAGGGCUGGGCUUGUCUGGGGUUCUCUUCAUUCUCAAGCUGAAUCUGAUCUGACAGAUGUGGGUCAGCACGAAGAUUAGCAGCUGUCAGGAAAUGGGUGUGUCGACUAGUGGGCGCCAGAGUUCUCCUGGGAGGUAACUGUGGUGAGGCCGCGUGACUGAGUGGGCAUGCCAAGCGCCAGCGAGCCACACAUUUUCAAUGGAUGAACACAUGUGAAUACAGGUAAUUUCAGAAGCAGCGACUCCUAAUUAUUCAGUGUUGAAAAGCUAAAAAAAAGGUUCACAUUGAAAACAGUGACCUCCAGUUUGCUCUGUGAAUG